UAUCGGGUAUGCUUGUCUGAUGAGGUCGU
rnacentral:sRNA from 1 species